rnacentral:rRNA from 1 species
UGGGGAAUAUUGCACAAUGGGCGCAAGCCUGAUGCAGCCAUGCCGCGUGUAUGAAGAAGGCCUUCGGGUUGUAAAGUACUUUCAGUCGGGAGGAAGAUGGUAAGGUUAAUAACCUUAUCAAUUGACGUUACCGACAGAAGAAGCACCGGCUAACUCCGUGCCAGCAGCCGCGGUAAUACGGAGGGUGCAAGCGUUAAUCGGAAUUACUGGGCGUAAAGCGCACGCAGGCGGUCUGUCAAGUCGGAUGUGAAAUCCCCGGGCUCAACCUGGGAACUGCAUUCGAAACUGGCAGGCUAGAGUCUUGUAGAGGGGGGUAGAAUUCCAGGUGUAGCGGUGAAAUGCGUAGAGAUCUGGAGGAAUACCGGUGGCGAAGGCGGCCCCCUGGACAAAGACUGACGCUCAGGUGCGAAAGCGUGGGGAGCAAACAGG